rnacentral:rRNA from 1 species
GAUGAACGCUGGCGGCGUGCCUAAUACAUGCAAGUCGAGCGAACAGACGAGGAGCUUGCUCCUCUGACGUUAGCGGCGGACGGGUGAGUAACACGUGGAUAACCUACCUAUAAGACUGGGAUAACUUCGGGAAACCGGAGCUAAUACCGGAUAAUAUAUUGAACCGCAUGGUUCAAUAGUGAAAGACGGUUUUGCUGUCACUUAUAGAUGGAUCCGCGCCGCAUUAGCUAGUUGGUAAGGUAACGGCUUACCAAGGCGACGAUGCGUAGCCGACCUGAGAGGGUGAUCGGCCACACUGGAACUGAGACGCGGUCCAGACUCCUACGGGAGGCAGCAGUAGGGAAUCUUCCGCAAUGGGCGAAAGCUUGACGGAGCAACGCCGCGUGAGUGAUGAAGGUCUUCGGAUCGUAAAACUCUGUUAUUAGGGAAGAACAAAUGUGUAAGUAACUAUGCACGUCUUGACGGUACCUAAUCAGAAAGCCACGGCUAACUACGUG